rnacentral:rRNA from 1 species
ACAGAGGGUGCGAGCGUUAAUCGGAAUUACUGGGCGUAAAGCGUGCGUAGACGGUUUCGUAAGUCGGAUGUGAAAUCCCCGGGCUCAACCUGGGAAUUGCAUUCGAAACUGCAAGGCUUGGGUGCGGAAGAGGGAAGCGGAAUUUCCGGUGUAGCGGUGAAAUGCGUAGAUAUCGGAAGGAACAUCAGUGGCGAAAGCGGCUUCCUGGUCCAGCACCGACGUUCAGGCACGAAAGCGUGGGGAGCAAACAGGAUUAGAUACCCUGGUAGUCCACGCCAUAAACGAUGAGAACUAGACGUUGAGAGGGUAAGCCUCCCAGUGUCGUAGCUAACGCGCUAAGUUCUCCGCCUGGGGAGUACGGCCGCAAGGUUG